rnacentral:rRNA from 1 species
UUUAGAUGGCGACCGGCGCACGGGUGAGUAACACGUAUCCAACCUGCCGAUGACUCGGGGAUAGCCUUUCGAAAAAAAGAUUAAUACCCGAUGGCAUAGUUCUUCCGCAUGGUAGAACUAUUAAAGAAUUUCGGUCAUCGAUGGGGAUGCGUUCCAUUAGGUUGUUGGCGGGGUAACGGCCCACCAAGCCUUCGAUGGAUAGGGGUUCUGAGAGGAAGGUCCCCCACAUUGGAACUGAGACACGGCCCAA